UACGGAGGAUGCGAGCGUUAUCCGGAUUUAUUGGGUUUAAAGGGUGCGUAGGCGGGCUUUUAAGUCAGCGGUAAAAAUUCGGGGCUCAACCCCGUCCGGCCGUUGAAACUGGGGGCCUUGAGUGGGCGAGAAGAAAGCGGAAUGCGUGGUGUAGCGGUGAAAUGCAUAGAUAUCACGCAGAACCCCGAUUGCGAAGGCAGCCUUCCGGCGCCCUACUGACGCUGAGGCACGAAAGUGCGGGGAUCGAACAGG
rnacentral:rRNA from 1 species